CGCAAGCCUGACGGAGCAAGACCGCGUGGGGGAGGAAAGCCUUUGGGUUGUAAACCGCUUUUCUCAGGGAAGAAGAUCUGACGGUACCAAAGGAAUCAGCCUCGGCUAACUCCGUGCCAGCAGCCGCGGUAAUACGGAGGAGGAAAGCGUUAUCCGGAAUGAUUGGGCGUAAAGCGUCCGCAGGUGGCAAUGUAAGUCUGCUGUCAAAACCCAGGGCUCAACUCUGGUCAGGCAGUGGAAACUACAUAGCUAGAGUUCGGUAGGGGCAAAGGGAAUUCCCGGUGUAGCGGUGAAAUGCGUAGAGAUCGGGAAGAACAUCGGUGGCGAAAGCGCUCUGCUGGGCCGCAACUGACACUGAGGGACGAAAGCUAGGGGAGCG
rnacentral:rRNA from 1 species